ACGCAGUAAACGUAGAAUUUUACUCGCCGUAGCCUGCAGUGGACGUAGACAGUAGACACUAGACAGCAGCAGCUGACUGAAUAGCUAAUUAGUAGGUCGAUAUAGCUAUAUAGAUGUAACAGUAAGGUAGUUUAUAGUUAUAUAAAUAGUAGAAACUAGAAGAGUUCCGAGUUGUCAUCAUUGUCCGUUUGUGUAAUUAAUGUUAUUUUAUUAAAGAGAAACAAUAAUAAAAUAAAUCGCCAUAUUUCUAUUCGGAUCCGGUGUACAGUAGGAACUAUUCAUACCAUGUCUAAAAGGAAUUUUGACAACGAAGAAGGCUCUGAAAACCCUCCGUUGAAAAAAUUACAAUUGGAACCAAUUGACUUACAUCCUACUAUGGUGGCUGUAAAUUAUUUGAAUGCAGAAACUAGUGCACAGUUACCUGUUGAUCUUCAAGACACUACGAAUUAUGCAAAAGAAGAAAUACAAAAUGAAAUGCUGAUUAAAUUAAAAGAACUCCAGUACGCGUACCAACAAAUUCAAGAGAGGAAAAACGACAUCGAUACAUAUUUAAUGGAAACCAGGAAUGAGUUAAAAGCGUUCCUGGAAAUUCAAAAGCGAUAUCUAUCUGAUUUCAGCCGAUCUAAUUAAAUGAAAAGAAAAAGGAAUAAUCAAGCAAUGUAAUGAGUAUUUCAAGAGUUUGGUGACACAAACAUAUUUCUAUUCAAUUCAGUUCAAACUUGGCUUUCGCUCAUGAUAAAGAUUAAAAAAAAAAA